rnacentral:rRNA from 1 species
CACGUAGGGCGCAAGCGUUGUCCGGAAUUAUUGGGCGUAAAGAGCUCGUAGGCGGUUUGUCGCGUCUGCUGUGAAAUCCCGAGGCUCAACCUCGGGCUUGCAGUGGGUACGGGCAGACUAGAGUGCGGUAGGGGAGACUGGAAUUCCUGGUGUAGCGGUGGAAUGCGCAGAUAUCAGGAGGAACACCGAUGGCGAAGGCGGCACUCUGGGCCGGAACUGACGCUGAGGAGCGAAAGCGUGGGGAGCGAAACAGGA